UCCUGGGGCUCCUCCCAACCUGAAUUUUUCUGUGAUUCCGUGCGCAUCGUGAUUUGAAGAAAUGGGACAGAAGUUUCCUUCUGCUUUCUCUUCUUCAGGCUCUUUGGUUGCCUGUGGUGCUCUUCGGCCUGUUCUGUAUUGCAUCUCUGCAUCUCUAGAAACCAAGAUUAUCUCAGCCUGUUCAGUCAUAUGAUGAUUUUUCAUGGGGCAAUGGAAGGUGGUAAUGCAGGGUAAGAGGUCUUGAUACCAGAUGACUACUCAGAUCCGUUUGAUGCCAAAAGUGAGUUGAACAAAAUGGGGAAAGGGGAGAACACUGGCUAUAUGGAACCCUAUGAAGCCCAGAGAAUAAUGACUGGGACUCCUGCUUUGGCCCCUCAGGAAAGAGUAAUCAGUGGGUGAAGAUAAGGCAG